CCUACGGUGAGCAGCAGUGGGGAAUAUUGGACAAUGGGCGAAAGCCUGAUCCAGCCAUGCCGCGUGUGUGAAGAAGGCCUUCGGGUUGUAAAGCACUUUCAGUGGGGAAGAAAGCCUUGGGGCUAAUACCCUCGAGGAAGGACAUCACCCACAGAAGAAGCACCGGCUAACUCCGUGCCAGCAGCCGCGGUAAUACGGAGGGUGCGAGCGUUAAUCGGAAUUACUGGGCGUAAAGCGCGCGUAGGCGGUCUGAUAAGCCGGUUGUGAAAGCCCCGGGCUCAACCUGGGAACGGCAUCCGGAACUGUCAGGCUAGAGUGCAGGAGAGGAAGGUAGAAUUCCCGGUGUAGCGGUGAAAUGCGUAGAGAUCGGGAGGAAUACCAGUGGCGAAGGCGGCCUUCUGGACUGACACUGACGCUGAGGUGCGAAAGCGUGGGUAGCAAACAGGAUUAGAUACCCUUGUAGUC
rnacentral:rRNA from 1 species